rnacentral:lncRNA from 1 species
AUUGAAACACAGCAAGGCUCUUGCAACAAUCUGUGCUGGAUCAUCAAUGGUUGUCCCUGUUUGAGGGAAUCCUUCUUCUUCAUUUGCCUCUCCUGUUCAAGAUUACCCACAAGAAAAUAAUUUUUUGACCCUUAAAUAGAAAUAAAAGAAAAAUUACCAUCAUCAUAUUUACAAAACUAUUCCAUGUUUUUCUGUAAGUUACCUUGAUAGGACUGGAACAAAGAGAUGCAAAGCAGAGCUAUAGCCAAAACCCAGAAUUUACCGGUAACUGAGACUGCCAUUUUUGAGAAGUUUUUAACUUGGUGGAAUAGAAGGUAAGAUUUAGAGUAGUUAUAUAUAGCAAUAUAUUAGUAUGGUUUUAUUCAUUGUUCAAAUUUAGUGAUAUCAAUCCAGUGACUGACCCUUUAUGUAAUCAACCCUGAGGAUAUAAGAUUUUGAGUGUCUAGUGGUUAGGCAAUUUCCCUUGUGCAAAUUAACAAGAAAAGGGAAUAAAGUUGUCUGUUUGCCCUUUUCUUGGUAAUGUCAAUUUUGGGGGAGGACAAAGGAGAAAGCAGUUUGUUGAAGUGCAAGUCACCUACUAUUUUUACUUGCUAAAGGAAUUUAUUUCGUGUGCAAAAAAAGUUCAAACCUAAAACAUUAAUUGGUUUACUAAUUUUGGUUACAAGUCAAAAUUAAUUGGUAUUUAGCUAGUCUUAACAACCCAAGAACAGAAAUAUAAUAAUUAAGUGAAGUUGGAGCAAAGUUUUAUUGCCCACAAAUCAAGACUAAAAUUUUUUAACAUAAUACGAUAACACAAUUCAAUUCAACAAUGACAAAAAUACAUUUGCACACAAUAAUAAUACAAAAGAGACCUACUUUAGAAAAUAUACAUAGUUCCAAAUUUUUAAACAUAAUACUAAUUAAUGUUUAAACAAAC